rnacentral:rRNA from 1 species
GACGAACGCUGGCGGCGUGCUUAACACAUGCAAGUCGAACGGAAAGGCCCUGCUUUUGUGGGGUGCUCGAGUGGCGAAAGGGUGAGUAACACGUGAGUAACCUGCCCUUGACUUUGGGAUAACUUCAGGAAACUGGGGCUAAUACCGGAUAUGAGCUCCUGCUGCAUGGUGGGGGUUGGAAAGUUUCGGCGGUUGGGGAUGGACUCGCGGCUUAUCAGCUUGUUGGUGGGGUAGGGGCUUACCAAGGCUUUGACGGGUAGCCGGCCUGAGAGGGUGACCGGCCACAUUGGGUCUGGAAUGAGGCCCGGCCUACACCGGGAGGCGGGGGUGGGGAAUAUUGCACAAUGGGCGGAAGCCUGAUGCAGCAACGCCGCGUGCGGGAUGACGGCCUUCGGGUUGUAAACCGCUUUCGCCUGUGACGAAGCGUGAGUGACGGUAAUGGGUAAAGAAGCACCGGCUAACUACGUG